GUAGAAAAUUAAGGGGUUGUAGGGGCGCCUGCGUGGCUCAGUCAGUUGAGUGGCCCGACCCUUGAUUUCAGCUCAGGUCAUGGUCCCAGAGUUGUGGGAUUGAGCCCCGUGUCCAGCUCCAUGCUAAGGGCCUGCUUGGGAUUCUCUCUCUCUCUCUCUCUCCUCCCUCUCUCUCUCUCUCCAAAAAAAAAAGAAAGAAAAAGACAAAUCAAGUAGUUGUAAAGAAAAAGAUGAGAGAGACAGAGUGAGCACCCUAACAAAACAGCAGCGUAAAGAAUGACGUUUAUUUUUCUCAUGGGUGGUAGUCUUGGAAGAUGGGCAAGCUUCUGGCCACUCCGGUCCCCCGGGUCCUUCCAUCUCGUCUCUGCCAUCCCCUGUUGUCAUCUGUCUGGUUGAAGCUGAGGGAGGAAAAGGGGCAGGUGAGAGGUUCCCACUCCCACCCCCCUCCCAUUGGCCAGGAUCUGGUCAACUCCGUACCUCUCGUCACACAGGGGCUGAGGAGUACAGGUCUCUUAAAAAUUGCACAUGCCAGCUACAACUAUAUUCUUACGGAAAAUGACACUGGUUAGACUGGAGUGGGCGGAUAGUAACCUUUACCACAGUGGGAAAGCCAUCACGCACACCUGACUCCCAAGCAGCAGGACGAGUGUGGACAAGUCAGUCCAUCAUGUUAUCUAUACGUGAGGGAAGGUGUAAAGGCCAGAUCAGAGAAAGUAGGGAGAAAGAUUAAUAUUCCACGUGACCCAGGCGGAGACCUAGUACACAGCGUAGUGAUCACAGUCAAUAAUACUGUAUGAUAUAAUUCCAAAUUGCUAAGACACCACAUCUGAACUAUUCUCACCACAAACAUAAGAAACGAUCAUUGUGAUGUCAUCGAGGCGUUACUGCUAAGGUGACGAUCAUACCGCAAUAUGUAAAUGUAUCCGAUCUACACAUCGCACACCUUAAACUUACCCAAUAAAUGGGUCAAGCAGAAUGAGAGUGGAAUCUUCUUUGCCAAGACGACACGGCGUAUACCGGAUAUAUGCGCCCAAGCGAGCGAAUCUGAUCCCCACGGGAAGUCGGUUCAUCUCACAAACCAUCAGAACCCUGAGAUCCACACUGAGACUCCCGAGAUCCCAGAGCUGACAGAAAAGUGUGAGGAGUUCCAGGGACUGGUUUUCCUGAGACAAAAGGACAAACUAAAAGAUUUCAAAACUGAUCUGUUCCCGAUACCUCCAAGGUUCAUUUGAUGUGGGCGAACCAGACACAAAAACCAGCGUUGCUCCGAAUUCCCCGAUUAUCUCCAUGAAAGCAGCAGUGAGAAAUUCGUGCCAAACCUGACCCAGCCAUACUGAAUUUCAUGGUGGGAGCUUCAGUUAAGAAGAGUCAAAGAUUCCCUGGCUUCUCACCAAUCUGUCUACUAAUAAAUACACUGACUGUUGUAACA
rnacentral:lncRNA from 1 species